rnacentral:rRNA from 1 species
AACGAACGCUGGCGGCAGGCCUAACACAUGCAAGUCGAGCGAGACCUUCGGGUCUAGCGGCGGACGGGUGAGUAACGCGUGGGAACGUGCCCUUUUCUACGGAAUAGCCUCGGGAAACUGAGCGUAAUACCGUAUACGCCCUUUGGGGGAAAGAUUUAUCGGAGAAGGAUCGGCCCGCGUUGGUUUAGGUAGUUGGUGGGGUAAUGGCCUACCAAGCCUACGAUCCAUAGCUGGUUUGAGAGGAUGAGCAGCCACACUGGGACUGAGACACGGCCCAGACUCCUACGGGAGGCAGCAGUGGGGAAUCUUAGACAAUGGGGGCAACCCUGAUCGAGCCAUGCCGCGUGAGUGAUGAAGGCCUUAGGGUUGUAAAGCUCUUUCAGCUGGGAAGAUAAUGACGGUACCAGCAGAAGAAGCCCCGGCUAACUCCGUG